UUAAAUUGAAGAGUUUGAUCAUGGCUCAGAUUGAACGCUGGCGGCAGGCCUAACACAUGCAAGUCGAACGGUAACAGGAAGAAGCUUGCUUCUUUGCUGACGAGUGGCGGACGGGUGAGUAAUGUCUGGGAAACUGCCUGAUGGAGGGGGAUAACUACUGGAAACGGUAGCUAAUACCGCAUAACGUCGCAAGACCAAAGAGGGGGACCUUCGGGCCUCUUGCCAUCGGAUGUGCCCAGAUGGGAUUAGCUAGUAGGUGGGGUAACGGCUCACCUAGGCGACGAUCCCUAGCUGGUCUGAGAGGAUGACCAGCCACACU
rnacentral:rRNA from 1 species